CUUGAUCUUCCUCCUCUGGAUUCACGACUCUGGUUGCUUGCUUUGGGACGUUGGGUAAAUAAAGGAAAUUAAAAGGAGAAGAAUGAUUCGAAGCCGGUUGCUUUGGUUCACCUUGGGGUUUUCGGUGACAGCAGCUUCAAUCUCUCAAUUCAUCUAUAAAGACCUCUGGACUGAUCGUUAUGCCCUUAAAUCUGAUAUGAAGCAUAAGUUUGAUGCACUAGAAACUAGAGUGUCGAAUCUGGAAUCGCUUCCCCCGGAGAACCCUAACCCUGCUCAGGGUAUUAAUCACUCUGCCUGUUGCAUCUCUGAGAAACAUCAUCGGCCAUCCAUUUUGUGUGAGUCCAGCAAACAAGUGAGAUGGCUGCCUAUUUCCAUCUCUAUCAGUUGAGCCAUCUCCUCAGGCAAAAUGCUCCCUACCAUCAAAUCUCAGUUCAACCCGUCCCCUUCUUCCAAGAAUACAUUUCGUGCUAGAAUCAGUAGCAAACUUUCUUGCUACGCAAGCUGAUGCAACCACAGUUUUUGGGAGUGGUCGUCACUCAACGAUUUGAAUUGAGAAUUCCUAGCUCGAGCUAAAUGCUCAGAAGUAUCAUCAGUAAGCCUUGAAUCAUGAUUUUAUCUGAUGGGAUGAUCGAGGAAGGAUGUUGUUGGCCAGUUCUUCAUUUACCUUGACUGGAAGUGGAGGCAUUUGUUUCAUUACCUCUGGCAGGUCAUUCAUGCUGCCAGAAAAAAAACAAAAAAAAACAAGAACUCAUUAAACAUUGAAGAAUGUACGGAAGAUGUACAGUACACAUUGUUCUAUGUCCAAUUACAAUGUACUAUAUUAUUCCCAGAUUAGAAGAUAUAUAUAUAUAUAUAUAUAUAUAUAUCUGUCUGUGCAAAUAGGAGGCGUCUUAAACCUAUUCACUUCAUCAAUUAUUAAGUAAUGAAAUUUCCUACUAAUUAAGUGAAA